UGGUCAAGUUAUUAAGGGUGCAGGGCGGAUGCCUUGGCACUAGGAGCCGAUGAAGGACGUGAUAAGCUGCGAUAAGCUUCGGGGAGUUGCACGUAAACUUUGAUCCGAAGAUUUCCGAAUGAGGAAACUCACUUAGAGUAAUGUCUAAGUAUCAUUAAGUGAAUACAUAGCUUAAUGAGGGGAACUCAGGGAACUGAAACAUCUAAGUACCUGAAGGAAGAGAAAGAAAUUCGAUUCCGUAAGUAGCGGCGAGCGAACGCGGAUUAGCCCAAACCAAUAAAGUUUUCUUUAUUGGGGUUGCGGACAUAUCAUAACGAAGAGGUAUCGUAAUUGAAGAGGUUUGGA
rnacentral:rRNA from 1 species